GUCUGAGUUAUCACUGAACACUGAGUUCUUCUGUCCAGGUAAUUUACUCUGAAGGUUUUCCAAGGAAGAAGGGCAGUGGAACUGGGAACAAUGAAACAGAAAAGCCAAUGUAUAAGAUGGAAUAUUUGUGGUAGCCCUAACUUGAACAGCUCUCGGAAUGAUUUCCCCCUGCAGUUUGUUUUCACUUUAUAUGUCUGACACUGUUUAUUGUCUUCCUGGGGAGGAACACACAUGGGAGUGUGCCUCUGGUCUGAUCUCUCCUUUCAUUUUCACAUGGAUCCUAGGGAUUGAACUCACGGCCAGGCUUGUGUGGUAUACAGUCUUACCUGCUGAGGCACAUCUCUGUCAUAUUGAUUUUCAUAAAUUUUUACAUUAUUUUCUGCCAUGGUAAUCCGGAAUGACUUUGUUUUUAAUGAUUUUUAAUAAAUGUUUAGUUUUAAUCCAUAAA